GUGAAUUAGGACCUAGCAAGGAAAUUCCAGAAUUUUUGGAACCUUUUCCGGCAAAUAAUUCGAGCUUGGGAAGGCACGCGUCAACCAAGUACCAGUCGAUACGAGGAGGUGUUCGAGAGCUGUGCGGUCACAAAGGGGUGUCGUUCCGGAGCGUCAGUCCCUGGUCGGUCUUUUAGAGUCCUUUGUCCGUUUUCAUAUUUAGAGUCUUUUGUAUUUUUCUUCAUAAUUGUAUUUUCCAUUUGAAAUAUUUGAUUUUAAUUUUGUAUUUCAUUUUUACAUUUGCAAUUUCCUUUGUAAUAUUUUCGAAA